UACAGAGGUGGCAAGCGUUGUUCGGAAUUACUGGGCGUAAAGGGCGUGUAGGCGGUCGCCUAGGUCAGACGUGAAAUCCCCAAGCUUAACUUGGGAACUGCGUCUGAUACUGGGUGGCUUGAGUUCGGGAGAGGAAUGUGGAAUUCCAGGUGUAGCGGUGAAAUGCGUAGAUAUCUGGAGGAACACCGGUGGCGAAGGUGGCAUUCUGGACCGAAACUGACGCUUAAGCGCGAAAGCCAGGGGAGCAAACGGG
rnacentral:rRNA from 1 species